rnacentral:rRNA from 1 species
GCCUACGGGGCGCAGCAGUGGGGAAUAUUGCACAAUGGGGGAAACCCUGAUGCAGCGACGCCGCGUGAGUGAGGAAGUAUUUCGGUAUGUAAAGCUCUAUCAGCAGGGAAGAAAAUGACGGUACCUGACCAAGAAGCCCCGGCUAACUACGUGCCAGCAGCCGCGGUAAUACGUAGGGGGCAAGCGUUAUCCGGAUUUACUGGGUGUAAAGGGGGCGCAGACGGCGAUGCAAGCCAGGAGUGAAAGCCCGGGGCCCAACCCCGGGACUGCUCUUGGAACUGCGUGGCUAGAGUGCAGGAGGGGCG